rnacentral:lncRNA from 1 species
UUGCUUCUUUAGAUACCCGGCUCCCGGGAAGAAAUCCAGUGGUGGAAUUUCUAGGCUGACAGAGGGGGAAGAUCUCAGGAACUCUGGAAAACAUUUCCUGAGCAGUUGGAAGCAUGGUCUUCUGCACGUGAGCCUCCGGGACAGGCCAGCUUGGCUGGCCUCUGCAGCAUAGUGGAAGCCACCUCCACCCGUGUCAGAUGCUGCUUCAGAUCAGCGAGCUCAUGGUCUUGGCAAAGGCUCAUAGCACCCCUUCCAGGUAAGACCAUUGUUACCCUCAUUUAAGAGCUGGGGAAACCGAGGCCCUA